rnacentral:rRNA from 1 species
CCUACGGGUGGCAGCAGUGAGGAAUAUUGGUCAAUGGGCGGAAGCCUGAACCAGCCAAGUAGCGUGCAGGAUGACGGCCCUACGGGUUGUAAACUGCUUUUAUACGGGAAUAACGCGCCUUACGUGUAGGGCUUUGCAUGUACCGUAUGAAUAAGGACCGGCUAAUUCCGUGCCAGCAGCCGCGGUAAUACGGAAGGUCCGGGCGUUAUCCGGAUUUAUUGGGGUUAAAGGGAGCGUAGGCCGCAUGUCAAGCGUGCUGUGAAAUGUCCGGGCUCAACCCGGGCCUUGCAGCGCGAACUGGCGUGCGUGAGUGCGCGAGAAGCAGGCGGAAUGCGUGGUGUAGCGGUGAAAUGCUUAGAUAUGACGAAGAACCCCGAUUGCGAAGGCAGCUUGCUGCAGCGGAACUGACGCUGAUGCUCGAAAGCGGGGGUAUCGAACAGGAUUAGAUACCCGUGUAGUC